rnacentral:rRNA from 1 species
AGUGAACGCUGGCGGUAGGCCUAACACAUGCAAGUCGAACGGCAGCACAGUAAGAGCUUGCUCUUACGGGUGGCGAGUGGCGGACGGGUGAGGAAUGCAUCGGAAUCUACUUUUUCGUGGGGGAUAACGUAGGGAAACUUCCGCUAAUACCGCAUACGACUUACGGGUGAAAGCAGGGAAUCUUCGAACUUUGCCCGAUGGAUUUAGCGGAUGUCGGAUUAGCUAGUUGGCGGGGUAAAGGCCCACCAAGCCGACGAUCCGUAGCUGGUCUGAGAGGAUGAUCAGCCACACUGGAACUGAGACACGGUCCAGACUCCUACGGGAGGCAGCAGUGGGGAAUAUUGGACAAUGGGCGCAAGCCUGAUCCAGCCAUACCGCGUGGGUGAAGAAGGCCUUCGGGUUGUAAAGCCCUUUUGUUGGGAAAGAAAAGCAGCAGGUUAAUACCCCGCUGUUCUGACGGUACCCAAAGAAUAAGCACCGGCUAACUUCGUG